ACAUAAACUUUUUCUAAUGUUUGCAAGAAUGGACCCAGAAUGCAAGAAUUACUGGACCAAACCAUCAAAGCAGGUUUUACCUGAGCCAAUCAGAGGAGGGGACACGCUUAGGACCAGAACAACGGGCUGCAUUCAAAACCAGAAACAUUAUUUGCCAAUAUUAUAACUGGAGCUGGACAUCUUUGGAGCUGAAGAAUGAGGACAGCUUUUGUAUGCUAACGUACACUCUUUAACAGUUUUACUGGAUGAAAACACAGCAAGAAAACACAUAUUCCAAUAUGUAAUAGUCAUUUAUUUUAUUGCAGUAUUGGUAGUUGGUUCAACAACUUGUUUUACUAGAGGACAAAAAACUGAAUAUGCAUAACCCAUAUUUAAUAUUCAUGCAGUGACUGAACAACAACUGCAUUUCCACCCCCAUCUCUAAAGGCAUAGUAUCAUGGCAAGUCACAUGUCAGAUCACCUGUCAGGUCAG
rnacentral:lncRNA from 13 species